UGUGUGUGUGUGUGUGUGUGUGGUUUUUGUGUGCAUAUUCAUCCUCAAACACAGCUGUGACAGCAGGGAAGGUCAGCCUCAUUUCCCUUUUUUCCAGGUCUGUAUCUGAACAGAGUAUGAAGAGGAACAGAAGAUCAAACGUGACCUCACUUCCUGUCCAUUGUGAUGCCGACGACGCCUCUGCUUUGCUCACUGGGGAUACAUUUAAAUUUUAUAUCCUGGUUUCUGUAAAGCCUCUUCAUGACAUUUUUAAAAGUGUUAUAAAUAAAACUGAAAUCGAACGUAAGCAGCAGCGCAGCACGUGAUUGGUCCGAUCUACAGGUCAGUUUGGUAUUAUUGCUUCUUUAUGUCUAAUCUAGUUAUAGCAGGCGUUCCCACCAGGCCAGCUUUCUGUUUUGGUAAGUGAUUGGCUGUGUGUGUGUGUGUGUGUGUGUGUGUGUGUGUGUGUGUGUGUGUGUGUGUGUGUUUCCAUUUACUAAUUUCAAUCAACACUUCACUGUGACACCUGAACGAACAUCCUGUUAACAGCACAGCUCAUCACGCACUUCAGAGAGGGAGACGGAUGGAGAGAGAAAGUAUUGGCACCCUUCGAGUGUUUUUUUUUUUUUUGCGUGGGAGGAUUUCCAUAAAAUACUCAUGUACCGCUCGGCGUUUUGGAGAAAAUAUGAGGCCAAAAUAUCCGCAGUCCUCCUGCUAAUAAUACACGUUGACAUCUCUGCCUUAUGUAAACAUAUUUAUAGUUGUUUAAUUUAUUUAUUUAGGUUAUUUUCUUACCUCACCUCUCGUCUUCAUGUAAAGAUCGUGCUGUGCACAGAGACAUUUUUAACAAACACAGCAGUAAACACAGCCGUCCUGUCUAAAACUCUGUCUGACUCCCUCACGAUCCGGUCAAGUUUCGGAGAGAUAUACGCCUUCGCAGAGUGGAAUCAAUUCCGUUUGUGGCUUUCAAAAUGUCCGCCGUGACGCUCGGGCCCUGUCACGUCUGAGAGCGAUUUUCCGAGCGCUCCGAACCGCUGCAGCGUCCUGCCGAAACACUCCACGCAAAAUGGCGGCGGCUUCAGCAGUAAAACCUAGUUACGUAUUUAUAUUCCUGUGUAAUAAUCCGUAUAACUGACUGUCAUUAACGUCUUAUAAUGCAAGAUUAAUCUGAAAAUAAAGGACGUACAGUCCAGUCUAACGCAGCUAGCACAGAGUCGGAUAACCGUCUAAUGCCGCGUAAGUCCGAGUCUGGGGAGGUGAACAGUUCUGAGCAGAACGCCCUUUUCAUGCAGUAAUUACAGCAGUCGUGACAUGGCAUGAACGCAGUUUAAUAUACGCAGUGAUUAUUUCACACCGAGGUUAGCGUGAACAGUGGAGUGAAGAGACCAGAAGAGACGAAGCUCGAGUAUAAACGUCCGGAGCGACUUUCAGAGGUCACGAGACGGACGUGGAUGAUACUGCAGGUUCCAGCAGCAACCCCCCCCCGGAGGUCUCCCAUCCAGCUACUGACCAGGAUCAGCCCUGCGUAUCUUCAGCAGGAACCCAGGGGAGAACUGCAGGGAGAAACGACUCUGUGUCCCUCAGCGUGUCACGUACAGGUACGAGAGCUAAUAAACCUCAGACUGUAGACCAACAACCGAGCCGGUUUUAUGAUAAUAAAAUCAUCUCUGCAGCUUCGGCCGCCAUUUUACAAAGGACGUCCCGCAGACGCUCGAUCGGAUUGAGAUCUGGGGAAUUUGGAGGUCGAGUCGACACCUUGAACUCUUUGGACCACUUUUGGUUGCUGUGAGAGGUCGUUGGUGUGUGCGAUGUUCUCCACAGUGCAGCUUUCCUCAGGACACACGGAGAAACGAGACAACACCAUCACCAACACGGCCUUCAUCAUCACCAUGGCGAUGUGCUUACCAAC